CAAAUCCUUUACAAAAGCAUAUACUGAAACACUAUAGAGAAAUUAUACGGUCAUAUCACGUGAUCGAGACAGUUUUUCGCCAAUAUCUCGUUAGGGGAGAAUUUUAACCUUAUGUCAUGGGGGUAAUAGCAAAUUUUAGUUAAAGAGUAAAUCAAAGUUAGCAAUCAUUGAACUCAAUAGUUAAAAAGGAGAAGCUAAAAGCGCUGAAAGACCAAGAAUCAUCUCCCGCAGGAGCUGUUGGAUCAGCACGCUGAAGAAGUACAGAGACUGGCGAACAAGCUGAUAAACUCAGACAGCAGCAAAAACUUCAAUAGUUAUGGUAGGCGAUGCACCAGUUGACAUAAUUCUAAGAAUGACUGUAACUGCGUACUGAUCUCAAACUCGAAGUAACAUCCCCAAGAUGAACUACUAUUUUUUAAUCGUGCAUGAGAAACUAAAGUAUUAUGAUAGGGGGCUUUUUAAAAAGUUACUGACAUGACGCUGGUCCUCACUUUUUGGAGUCUCUACUCCCUCAUUUCCAGGCUGAACAGGAAGCUGUACAACAACCGGUCUGACAAGUUACAAGUGGUGGACCUACAUCAUCUAGAUGUACAGGUAUAAAUUCUACUAGUACGAUUCGAUGCUGUGGAAGAGGUUGAAGUUGACGUUUAAGCAGUCACCCUGCCGAACAAGAAAUCAGUCAGGCAAAGAGGCUAGGUUGACUAGAAACUCAAUCACUGUAUCCGUGAAACUUGCUGGAAGCUAUGAGUAUCGGUCAUCAGACACUAAAGAGGACCAAUUAUUCUAUGUUCUACAUCUUCAAUGAUUAAUAAAGAUCUCGGAUUGCUCCUACUAAUGCAUGAUGUGUUAAAAUGAAAGAGAAAGAGAAACCACUCAUUUAUGAUUUACUU